AGCUUUAGUCGUGUGGCUAUAUUGAGACAUAGGUUAUGCUUCCAUCACAGUAAGUUUAUUGCAGUGGUGACAAUGAGACCUGUAACAUUU